rnacentral:lncRNA from 10 species
UUCCUACCUAUAGUUGAGCAGUUUCAUGCUACAUCAUGGUGGAUCCCUCCCAAGUCACCACUGCCUAACAUUCCACAGAAUAUAGUUGAAAGAAUUGAAGAUGCAGAGUACUGAGCCCUCCACCUGCAAAUGCAUACAGCCAUGAACAGAUGGGUGUAAACUGAGGCAGUGGAGGGAGAGGGGUACUCCCAAGCCCUGAAAAUCUCAGAGUAAGAGGCCACCGACGACAGCGCUCACCGGUGCUGAGCUCCCUUCUACAGAAACCUGCAAAGACUCAGAUCGAGGAGGAAAUACACCAGGAAAAUGUCACAGGAUCAUCUCGAGCAGUCCCUUCCAGCGCCAAGCCAUUCAUUCAAGAAUGACUCAGGGCCGGGCGUGGUGGCUCACACCUGUAAUCCCAGCACUUUGGGAGGCCGAGGCAGGCGGAUCACGAGGUCAAGAGACUGAGAUCAUCCUGGCUAAUAUGGUAAAAC